rnacentral:lncRNA from 1 species
UCUGAUCUAAGAUGCUCUAAGUUGAAGCCUUUGCUUCAUACCUGAGCUACUUAGAUCAAGAUUUGCUUUCUUGGACCCUUUGUGCCGUUUGAUUCCAUGAUCCCUUUAGCUUUGCUUGGUUGUUGUUCAAGACUUCUAAGCACCCUCAAGUACAAUAGUUGGUGAUAUAUGAUGAUGAUAUUGGCGUAUGCUCACAUAGGAAUGGACAGGCCUUAGUGACAUUA